UAUUGUGCAGAAUUUGGACUCUGGAAA
rnacentral:sRNA from 1 species